GACCAGACUCCUACGGGAGGCAGCAGUGGGGGAUAUUGCACAAUGGGCGCAAGCCUGAUGCAGCGACGCCGCGUGAGCGAAGAAGUAUUUCGGUAUGUAAAGCUCUAUCAGCAGGGAAGAAAAUGACGGUACCUGACUAAGAAGCUCCGGCUAAAUACGUGCCAGCAGCCGCGGUAAUACGUAUGGAGCAAGCGUUAUCCGGAUUUACUGGGUGUAAAGGGGGCGCAGACGGCGAUGCAAGCCAGGAGUGAAAGCCCGGGGCCCAACCCCGGGACUGCUCUUGGAACUGCGUGGCUGGAGUGCAGGAGGGGCAGGCGGAAUUCCUGGUGUAGCGGUGAAAUGCGUAGAUAUCAGGAGGAACACCGGUGGCGAAGGCGGCCUGCUGGACUGCAACUGACGUUGAGGCCCGAAAGCGUGGGGAGCAAACAGGAUUAGAUACCCUGGUAA
rnacentral:rRNA from 1 species